rnacentral:tRNA from 1 species
GGAGAAAUACCCAAGAGGUCGAAGGGGCUCCCCUGCUAAGGGAGUAGGCUUGUAAAAGGGCGCGAGGGUUCAAAUCCCUCUUUCUCCGCCA